rnacentral:rRNA from 1 species
CUGCUCACUCGGCAGGUAAUAGAUCUGGCUACGUGGUCAAGGGAACUUGGAGGUGAUGUAGGGUGAUAGACGUUUUUACGAGGAUUGUAAAUGGGGCACAACCCACACACCUGUGCACCAAAGGGACGGCGGGUGGAUAACGCACGCCGUCUCGCUUUAACAAGCUCAAAAGUCCAUUUUGAAUGUCAUUUAUUCGGGCUAGCCCCGAUGUAACUUAAACAUAACAACUUUCAACAACGGAUCUCUUGGCUCUCGCAUCGAUGAAGAACGCAGCGAAAUGCGAUAAGUAAUGUGAAUUGCAGAAUUCAGUGAAUCAUCGAAUCUUUGAACGCACCUUGCGCCCAUUGGUAUUCCGAUGGGCAUGCCUGUUUGAGUGUCUUGAAAUCAUCAAGCCCGUUCGGUUUCACCGCCGAGCGGGGUUGGACUUGGGGGCUUGCCGCUUCGCCGCGGCUCCCCUUAAAUGCAUCGGUUUCGGGUCUCUGUGGGAGUCACCCCUUGGGCGUUGUAUAACCCUCGCUGUCUGGGAACUCCACGCGACGUCCGCGUCGUUGAAGGGCCUUGAAGAAACCUCGACCUGCUGUAGAGUGGCGGUCAAUGUUAAAUCGAGAUCUGACCUCAAAUCAGGUAGGACUACCCGCUGAACUUAAGCAUAUCAAUAAGCGGAGGA